rnacentral:rRNA from 1 species
AGAUUGAACGCUGGCGGCAUGCCUUACACAUGCAAGUCGAACGGCAGCACGGGAGCAAUCCUGGUGGCGAGUGGCGAACGGGUGAGUAAUACAUCGGAACGUGCCCAAUCGUGGGGGAUAACGCAGCGAAAGCUGUGCUAAUACCGCAUAAGAUCUACGGAUGAAAGCAGGGGAUCGCAAGACCUUGCGCGAAUGGAGCGGCCGAUGGCAGAUUAGGUAGUUGGUGAGGUAGAGGCUCACCAAGCCUUCGAUCUGUAGCUGGUCUGAGAGGACGACCAGCCACACUGGGACUGAGACACGGCCCAGACUCCGUACGGGAGGCAGCAGUGGGGUAAUUUUGGACGAAUGGCGAAAGCCGUGAUCCAGCCAUGCCGCCGUGCGAGGAGUGAAGGCCUCGGUUUGUUAACGUAGUUGUUUGUUAACGUAACGGUAAAA